rnacentral:rRNA from 1 species
UACGGAGGAUCCGAGCGUUAUCCGGAUUUAUUGGGUUUAAAGGGUGCGCAGGCGGGGGAUUAAGUCGGCGGUGAAAUUUUGCAGCUCAACUGUAAAAGUGCCGUUGAUACUGGGGAGCUAGGAUUUGGUUGCUGUGGGUGGAAUGUGUGGUGUAGCGGUGAAAUGCUUAGAGAUCACGAGGAACUCCGAUUGCGCAGGCAGCUUACUAAACUACUACUGACGCUCAGGCACGAAGGCGUGGGGAUCAAACAGGAUUAGAUACCCGGGUAGU